UCAUUAUUCCUUUUUUACAGAAGCAUUUUAUGAAGCAAAAAGGUUAUUUGGUAGACCCAACAGCAGAAUAGAACAAGAGCAUAACCAAGAUGUUAACAGCAAAGAUGAUCAAGAUAUGGAACUUGCUUACAGUCAGUCCAGUGUGACAGACACAUUUGAAGGAUUUUCUGAGCUAUCCUCACAAGCAACAACAAUGUCAAGCCAGGACUGGCUUGAAACACAAAUGACCACCAAAGACAGAUUUAAUGCAGCUAUGAAAAUGUUAUCACAUUCAUUUGAACCUCUUAAUUGCCAAUUGUCAAAACCAUGGAAUACACUUAGUAAAAGUUCAAGGUCAUAUUAUUUGAAAAAGACACAGGAGUCAAUUAGGUUGAUUUUUAAUGUUAUUG